UUGACAGCCCUGGAAGCUGAGCUCCUCUAAUGUUCCACAAAACAGGCACAGCAGGUGCAGUGGCAGCAUAAGCUUCCCUUCACUGCCCUGCCAAUGUGCCACAGGCCUUGCCUGCGGGGCCCACAUUUGUGAGCCUGAGAGGGCAAUUAUUCUCUGUGCCUUUGCAAUCCUCUUCACCU
ensembl:misc_RNA